rnacentral:rRNA from 1 species
GCCGCGGUAAUACGAAGGGACCUAGCGUAGUUCGGAAUUACUGGGCGUAAAGCGCGCGUAGGCGGUUAAGUAAGUUAAUUGUGAAAGCCCAAAGCUCAACUUUGGAAUUGCAAUUAAAACUACUUAGCUAGAGUUUAUCAGAGGAAAGCGGAAUACAUAGUGUAGAGGUGAAAUUCGUAGAUAUUAUGUAGAACACCAGUUGCGAAGGCGGCUUUCUGGAUCAUUACUGACGCUGAGGUGCGAAAGUAUGGGUAGCGAAGAGGAUUAGAUACCCUCGUAGUCCAUACUGUAAACGAUGAUUGUUAGAUGUUGGAAAUUUAUUUUCAGUAUCACAGCUAACGCGUUAAACAAUCCGCCUGGGGAGUACGACCGCAAGGUUAAAACUCAAAUGAAUUGACGGGGACCCGCACAAGCGGUGGAGCAUGUGGUUUAAUUCGAAGCUACGCGCAGAACCUUACCAACACUUGACAUGUCUGUCGCGGAAUCCAGAGAUGGAUUCUUUCGGUUCGGCCGGACAGAACACAGGUGCUGCAUGGCUGUCGUCAGCUCGUGUCGUGAGAUGUUGGGUUAAGUCCCGCAACGAGCGCAACCCCUACUUCUAGUUGCCAUCAGGUUAAGCUGGGCACUCUAGUAGGACUGCCUGUGAUAAGCAGGAGGAAGGUUGGGAUGACGUCAAGUCCUCAUGGCCCUUACGUGUUGGGCUACACACGUGCUACAAUGGCAGUGACAAUGAGAUGCUAAACGGCAACGUUAAGCUAAACUCAAAAACCUGCCUCAGUUCGGAUUGCACUCUGCAACUCGAGUGCAUGAAGCUGGA